rnacentral:rRNA from 1 species
CCUACGGGAGGCAGCAGUGAGGAAUAUUGGUCAAUGGACGAGAGUCUGAACCAGCCAAGUAGCGUGAAGGAUGACUGCCCUAUGGGUUGUAAACUGCUUUUGUACGAGGGUAAACGCAGAUACGCGUAUCUGUCUGACAGUAUCGUACGAACAAGCCUCGGCUAACUCCGUGCCAGCAGCCGCGGUAAUACGGGGGAUGCGAGCGUUAUCCGGAUUUAUUGGGUGUAAAGGGUGCGUCGGCGGAAGGUUAAGUCAGCGGUCAAAUGGCGGUGCUCAACACCGGCCUGCCGUUGAAACUGGUCUUCUUGGGUGCGCGAGAAGUAGGCGGAAUGCGUGGUGUAGCGGUGAAAUGCAUAGAUAUCACGCAGAACUCCGAUUGCGAAGGCAGCAUACCGGCGCGCAACUGACGCUGAGGCACGAAAGCGUGGGGAUCGAACAGGAUUAGAUACCCGAGUAGUC